rnacentral:rRNA from 1 species
UACAGAGGUGGCAAGCGUUGUUCGGAAUUACUGGGCGUAAAGGGCGCGUAGGCGGCGUGACAAGUCACUUGUGAAAUCUCUGAGCUUAACUCAGAACGGGCAAGUGAAACUGUUGUGCUAGAGUGCAGAAGGGGCAAUCGGAAUUCUUGGUGUAGCGGUGAAAUGCGUAGAUAUCAGGAGGAACACCGGAGGUGAAGACGGGUUGCUGGGCUGACACUGACGCUGAGGCGCGAAAGCGAGGGGAGCAAACGGG